CAAAAGCACUCAUCUCUAUCAAGCUGUCCUCUGUUAAUUCCUCUGGUGUGGUGUCUAUUAGCUCUUGAAUUUUUCCAAGAUCCAUUUCUUGAAAUCCUUCACCCCUCACUUAAAAAAAAAUUCUUUUUUGCCAUAUCCACAGUCGCUUUCAUCAUUUUCUUAAUUGGUUCUGUUGUAAAUCCUGUGAAGUCACACACAACAUCUGGACAGAGUUUUCUCCAGCAGGAAUUUAUUGUUUUGGGCUUGAUGGCUUUCACAACCUUUUCUGUAACAAAAUGGCAUCUUAAAUGGUGUAAUCCUUCCAGACUUUCGUGAUGUUCUCUCUGUUGGGAUUCUCUUCCAUAGU
rnacentral:lncRNA from 1 species